GAUGAACGCUAGCUACAGGCUUAACACAUGCAAGUCGAGGGGCAGCAUGGUCUUAGCUUGCUAAGGCCGAUGGCGACCGGCGCACGGGUGAGUAACACGUAUCCAACCUGCCGUCUACUCUUGGACAGCCUUCUGAAAGGAAGAUUAAUACAAGAUGGCAUCAUGAGUCCGCAUGUUCACAUGAUUAAAGGUAUUCCGGUAGACGAUGGGGAUGCGUUCCAUUAGAUAGUAGGCGGGGUAACGGCCCACCUAGCCAACGAUGGAUAGGGGUUCUGAGAGGAAGGUCCCCCACAUUGGAACUGAGACACGGUCCAAACUCCUACGGGAGGCAGCAGUGAGGAAUAUUGGUCAAUGGACGAGAGUCUGAACCAGCCAAGUAGCGUGAAGGAUGAAGGUCCUACGGAUUGUAAACUUCUUUAUAAGGGAAUAAACCCUCCCACGUGUGGAGCUUGUAUGUACCUUAUGAAUAAGCAUC
rnacentral:rRNA from 1 species